rnacentral:rRNA from 1 species
ACCAGGGCCGACGAUCGGUAGCUGGUCUGAGAGGAUGUCAGCCCACACUGGGAUGAGACACGGCCCCAGCUUCCUACGGGAGGCAGAAGUGGGGAAUUUUCCGCAAUGGGCGAAAGCCUGACGGAGCAAUACCGCUGAGGGAAGAAGGCUUUUGGGUUGUAAACCUCUUUUGUCAGGGAAGAAGAAUUGACGGUACCUGAAGAAAAAGCAUCGGCUAACUCCGUGCCAGCAGCCGCGGUAAUACGGAGGAUGCAAGCGUUAUCCGGAAUCAUUGGGCGUAAAGGGUCCGCAGGUGGCGAAUAAAGUCUGCUGUUAAAGGCCGGGGCUUAACUCCGGAAAGGCAGUGGAAACUGAUUAGCUAGAGUACGGUAGGGGUAGAGGGAAUUCCCAGUGUAGCGGUGAAAUGCGUAGAUAUUGGGAAGAACACCGGUGGCGAAAGCGCUNUACUAGGCCGAAACUGACACUGAGGGACGAAAGCUAGGGUAGCGAAAGGGAUUAGAU